rnacentral:siRNA from 1 species
UGACAAUUCUCAUCUUACUAUUGG